rnacentral:lncRNA from 1 species
AUACCCAGGUAGUAGAAUCACAAAUUGAGAAAUUAUAAAUUGUUAUCAUAUAAUUAUCUUGUCCAGUAAUAACUUGCUUCUUUCUCGACCUGUUCGGAUCUAGAGAGGUAAUGUACUGAGAAUAAUUUUUCUUCUAGUGCCCUUGCUUCUUGCAGUAGAAAUUUCUAUCUGACUUUGAUCGAACUUGAAUUUCCUGAUCUGACUGUGCUUGGGUGCCCCAGUACUUUGCAC